GACGAACGCUGGCGGCGUGCUUAACACAUGCAAGUCGAACGGUAAGGCCCUUCGGGGUACACGAGUGGCGAACGGGUGAGUAACACGUGGGUGAUCUGCCCUGCACUUCGGGAUAAGCCUGGGAAACUGGGUCUAAUACCGGAUAGGACCACUGCCUGCAUGGGUGGUGGUGGAAAGCUUUUGCGGUGUGGGAUGGGCCCGCGGCCUAUCAGCUUGUUGGUGGGGUGAUGGCCUACCAAGGCGACGACCGGUCGCCGGCCUGAGAGGGUGACCGGCCACACUGGGACGGCGAUACGGUCCAGACUCCUACGGGAGGCAGCAGUGGGGAAUAUUGCACAAUGGGCGCAAGCCUGAUGCAGCGACGCCGCGUGAGGGAUGACGGCCUUCGGGUUGUAAACCUCUUUCAGCACCGACGAAGCGCAAGUGACGGUAGGUGCAGAAGAAGGACCGGCCAACUACGUGCCAGCCGCCGCAGUAA
rnacentral:rRNA from 1 species